AGAGUUUGAUCAUGGCUCAGAACGAACGCUGGCGGCAGGCCUAACACAUGCAAGUCGAGCGCAGCCCUUCGGGGCCGAGCGGCGGACGGGUUAGUAACGCGUGGGAAUGUACCCUUCUCUACGGAAUAGCCUCGGGAAACUGAGAGUAAUACCGUAUACGCCCUUUGGGGGAAAGAUUUAUCGGAGAAGGAUCAGCCCGCGUAAGAUUAGAUAGUUGGUGGGGUAAUGGCCUACCAAGUCUACGAUCUUUAGCUGGUUUUAGAGGAUGAUCAGCAACACUGGGACUGAGACACGGCCCAGACUCCUACGGGAGGCAGCAGUGGGGAAUCUUAGACAAUGGGCGCAAGCCUGAUCUAGCCAUGCCGCGUGAGUGAUGAAGGCCUUAGGGUCGUAAAGCUCUUUCGCCAGAGAUGAUAAUGACAGUAUCUGGUAA
rnacentral:rRNA from 1 species